rnacentral:tRNA from 1 species
GCAUUGGUGGUUCAGUGGUGGAAUUCUCGCCUCGCAUUCGGAGACCUGGGUUUGAUUCCCGGCCAGUGCG